AGUAACGCGUGGGAACGUACCUUUCACUACGGAAUAGCUCUUGGAAACGAGUGGUAAUACCGUAUACGCCCUCCGGGGGAAAGAUUUAUCGGUGAAAGAUCGGCCCGCGUUAGAUUAGCUAGUUGGUAGGGUAAUGGCCUACCAAGGCGACGAUCUAUAGCUGGUCUGAGAGGAUGAUCAGCCACACUGGGACUGAGACACGGCCCAGACUCCUACGGGAGGCAGCAGUGGGGAAUCUUGCACAAUGGGCGAAAGCCUGAUGCAGCCAUGCCGCGUGAAUGAUGAAGGCCUUAGGGUUGUAAAAUUCUUUCGCCAGGGAUGAUAAUGACAGUACCUGGUAAAGAAGCCCCGGCUAACUUCGUGCCAGCAGCCGCGGUAAUACGAAGGGGGCUAGCGUUGUUCGGAAUUACUGGGCGUAAAGCGCACGUAGGCGGACUUUUAAGUCAGAUGUGAAAUCCCGGGGCUCAACCUCGGAACUGCAUUUGAAACUGGAAGUCUAGAGACCAGGAGAGGUUAGCGGAAUACCGAGUGUAGAGGUGAAAUUCGUAGAUAUUCGGUGGAACACCAGUGGCGAAGGCGGCUAACUGGACUGGUACUGACGCUGAGGUGCGAAAGUGUGGGGAGCAAACAGGAUUAGAUACCCUGGUAGUCCACACCGUAAACGAUGAGAGCUAGUUGUUGGCAGGCAUG
rnacentral:rRNA from 1 species